rnacentral:rRNA from 1 species
AUAUAAGACGAGAAGACCCCAUGGAGCUUUAAACCCAACAACACCUAUCUAUUUUAUUCCCCCAUAUUUAUACGGUUAUGUUUGUUUGGUUUUAGGUUGGGGUGACCGCGGAGUAUAAAACAACCUCCACGAAGAAAAGACUAAUAAUCUUUAUCAGAGAAAGACAUUUCUAAGAAAUAAUAUAUUAACUUUAAAUGAUCCGAUAUUCGAUUAACGAAUCAAGUUACCCUGGGGAUAACAGCGCAAUCCACCUUAAGAGCCCUUAUCGACAG